rnacentral:snoRNA from 1 species
AACCCAUGGUGAGGGCACUUUCUCAACAGAUCCUUGUAACUCUCCCAUGUAUCGUAGAGUGUUUCUAAAUCCAUCUUCACAAAAGAGGAGAUAUCAUUACGUAAUUU